UUCCAGACUCCUACGGGAGGCAGCAGUGGGGGAUAUUGCACAAUGGGGGAAACCCUGAUGCAGCGACGCCGCGUGGGUGAAGAAGCGCCUCGGCGCGUAAAGCCCUGUCAGCAGGGAAGAAAAUGACGGUACCUGAAGAAGAAGCCCCGGCUAACUACGUGCCAGCAGCCGCGGUAAUACGUAGGGGGCAAGCGUUAUCCGGAUUUACUGGGUGUAAAGGGAGCGUAGACGGCAGAGCAAGUCUGAAGUGAAAGCCCGCGGCCCAACUGCGGGACUGCUUUGGAAACUGCCCGGCUAGAGUGCUGGAGAGGUAAGCGGAAUUCCUAGUGUAGCGGUGAAAUGCGUAGAUAUCAGGAGGAACACCGGCGGCGAAGGCGGCCUGCUGGACCGUAACUGACGUUGAGGCUCGAAAGCGUGGGGAGCAAACAGGAUUAGAUACCCGAGUAC
rnacentral:rRNA from 1 species